rnacentral:tRNA from 1 species
GUCUCCAUAGUUUAACAGGAUAAAACUGCGGCCUCCUAAGCCGCUGAUUCAGGUUCGAGUCCUGAUGGAGACGCCA